UACAGAGGUCUCAAGCGUUGUUCGGAUUCAUUGGGCGUAAAGGGUGCGUAGGCGGCGCGGUAAGUCGGGUGUGAAAUCUCGGGGCUUAACUCCGAAACUGCAUUCGAUACUGCCGUGCUUGAGGACUGGAGAGGAGACUGGAAUUUACGGUGUAGCGGUGAAAUGCGUAGAUAUCGUAAGGAAGACCAGUGGCGAAGGCGGGUCUCUGGGCCGUAACUGACGCUGGAGGAGCGAAAGCGUGGGGAGCGAACAGG
rnacentral:rRNA from 1 species